UACGUAGGGGGCAAGCGUUGUCCGGAUUUACUGGGCGUAAAGCGCGUGUAGGCGGCCACGCAGGUCAGUUGUGAAAACUAGAGGCUCAACCUCUAGACGUCGACGGAAACCGUGUGGCUAGAGUCCGGAAGAGGAGAGUGGAAUUCCUGGUGUAGCGGUGAAAUGCGCAGAUAUCAGGAAGAACACCAAUGGCGAAGGCAGCUCUCUGGGACGGUACUGACGCUGAGACGCGAAAGCGUGGGGAGCGAACAGG
rnacentral:rRNA from 1 species